GACGAACGCUGGCGGCGUGCUUAACACAUGCAAGUCGAACGGAAAGGCCUGCUUUCCCUUGUGGAUUGUGGGUACUCGAGUGGCGAACGGGUGAGUAACACGUGAGUGAUCUGCCCCCAACUUGGGUAUAAGCCUGGGAAACUGGGUCUAAUUCCCGAUAGGACUGCAGGGUGGUGCCUGUGGUGGAAAACGAUUUUCUAGUGGUUGGGGAUGAGCUCGCGGCCUAUCAGCUUGUUGGUGGGGUAAUGGCCUACCAAGGCGGCGACGGGUAGCCGGCCUGGGAGGGUGGACGGCCACAUUGGGACUGAGAUACGGCCCAGACUCCUACGGGAGGCAGCAGUGGGGAAUAUUGCACAAUGGGCGGAAGCCUGAUGCAGCGACGCCGCGUGGGGGAUGACGGCCUUCGGGUUGUAAACUCCUUUCGACCGCGAGGAAGCCACCUGGUUGGAAGGGUGGUGACGGUAGUGGUAGAAGAAGCACCGGCUAACUACGUG
rnacentral:rRNA from 1 species